rnacentral:misc_RNA from 1 species
CAGAUAAGAAAGAGAAGAAAACUCGAGAGAAUUUACCAGUGAUGAUGAUAGUGGUGGAUGAUUCCAGGGAGCAUGAUAGGAAGCGAUGUAGGAGGGAUGAUGACGAGUACAGGGGGAGAUCACGUGAACAAAGCACUGGCGGCACGUCAAGCAGGCACAGGAAGCACAGGGAGCACAGUGAAGGGAGCCCAAGGAAAAGGAGGAGCGAGGGCCGAGGAUGACUCGGAUAGGAAAGAGACAAACUCGAGAGGAGGAAUUAGAGGAUGNUAGAGGAUGAACAGAAGAGAUUGGAUGAAGAAAUGGAAAAGAGGAGAAGAAGAGUUCAGGAG